CAGAAGGUAGUUUAUAUUAAAAUGUUAGUUUUGGGGAUUAAUGAAGGGGCAUCCUUCUUCUGA
rnacentral:tRNA from 1 species